rnacentral:rRNA from 1 species
CCUACGGGUGGCUGCAGUAGGGAAUUUUGCGCAAUGGGGGAAACCCUGACGCAGCAACGCCGCGUGAUCGAUGAAGCCCUUCGGGGUGUAAAGAUCUUUCAGUGGGGACGAAACCUGACGGUAUCCACAGAGGAAACACCCGCUAACUCCAGGCCAGCAGCGGCGGUAAUACGGGGGGUGCAGGCGUUGUCUGGAAUCAUUGGGCGUAAAGCGUGCGUGGGUGGCUCGUUAAGUCUGUGGUUAAAGGCGGAAGCUCAACUUCCGUAGGGCACUGGAUACUGGCGAGCUUGAAUGCGGUAGAGGUAAAGGGAAUUCCUGGUGUAGCGGUGAAAUGCGUAGAUAUCAGGAGGAACAUCGGUGGCGUAAGCGAUUUACUGGGCCGUAAUUGACACUGAGGAACGAAAGCCGGGGUAGCAAAUGGGAUUAGAUACCCCAGUAGUC